CCCUAUGGGGUGCAGCAGGCGGGCUAUUAAGUCAGCGGUGAAAUUUUCAGGCUCAACCUGAACACUGCCGUUGAAACUGGUAGUCUUGAGUAUAGAUGAAGUAGGCGGAAUUCGUUGUGUAGCGGUGACAUGCUUAGAUAUAACGAGGAACUCCGAUUGCGUAGGCAGCUUACUAAACUAUAACUGACGCUCAUGCACGAAAGCGUGGGGAUCAAACA
rnacentral:rRNA from 1 species